GGCCGUCCCUGCCGGCGCCGACCGCCAUCUUGUGCGGCUGCCCCUGUGUAGUGGCGCAGCUCCUAAUGGAGGCGCCGCAGGGCCGCCUUGCCGGGCCUGAGGGCGGCGUGGGAAGGAGGAGGGCUCCGGUAAUGGCACGCUGUGGUGUCUUUCCGGCUUGAGGGUCACCUGGACCGGGAAGGGGAACAACAGUCGGCGGGGGAGGGGCUGCUUCACUCAAUACAUUGGCCACAUGUCUCUCCAACACUAAACCCCUUUGGUGUGCUACACAUCAACUUGCGGCUGCACCUGCUGGUCUGUACAGUGUUUCAUCACGCUGACUGCCCAGUAACGCGUAACUGAGCUACUCACCCCAACAUGCUGAGGUUGGGGGUCAGCAUUAGUUACUGUUGAUACCACCUUUCUUCCCCGUUAAGCCUUGUUGAGCUCUCAGAUUCAGUGAUACGCUAAGGUCAUCUGUACACAAUAACUACUAUCAAGUUACCCCAUUAUAACCACAAAAGGCCCCACCUUGCCCUCAUCAAGGCAGAAGCCUACUGUUAGCCUGUAAAAUGCCAGUCAAGUAAUAACCAUCCAGACUCCAUUUAACUGCUUAAUAAGAAAAAAAACACCUCCAGUACUCUAUCCACCACAUUACAGUCUGGUGACACAGAAUAACACUUGAGCUGCUCCCUUGAAUUUGGGUCAGUAAAGUACUGACAAGCGCGUUACGUUAUCAGAAUACCUCAGGCUAUAAGGUCACAGGGCAAAGGAAAUAAGCUUUGUUUGUCCUUUAUACAAACAUAGCAACUACUCCUGUUUCUCUCCUCUUUGGCAGCCUGCCUCUUUCAACAAAGAAAAGUAGAAGGAAGAUAUCUGUUCUAAAAAUCUCAGCUAGUUUCACCGUGGGAUUUAAAAGAAAAAUGAAGCCUUUUCACAGUGCUCACACAUGAAAACUGAUAAAUAAAAAAGUCACCUAUCUUCACUUAGUUUUUCCUGCUUACAAAGUUCAUCCACGUAGCUGCCCCUGAAGUUUGGGCUUUAAAGUCUGCUCCAGUUAAACCCUACAAGGCCUAAACAUCCAUGAACAAACCCUUAAAUGAACGUGCAUACUCCUCAUUAAAAAAAACACAGCUGGUACAGUACAAGACAAACUCUAUCUUUAGACAAAACAAUUACCAUUUUUCUGCUUAGGUCUUCCUUAAUGUUUCCGUGGUCAGCUAUAGCUCCAGACUUAAAGAUUUAAGCCUGUGUUUGUCUCCAGAUGCACCUAUUUAUACAAUUUAAAUGCUUUCAGGUGUGGUCAACAGGGCUGCCUGAGAUCAGUUUAAAAAAAAAAGAAAAAGCAAAACAACCCCCCAAAAGAAAAAAAAAAACACAAAAAGCACUACAUUAUAAAGAGAGCCGCUGUUGGCCUUAGGCCCAAAUGCGUUUUCUUUUUCCAAAGCAAAUAAGUCUUGUAUUUUUUUUUUUUUCUUUCUCAUAACUUUACAGGCAGCUUUAAAUUCCUAACAGUUUGGUAAUGCUCACAUCACAUCCCUACAAUGUUUGCAAAGCUUUUGUAAACAACAGCAUUGUUUGAUAUAAUUCAUACGCCCUAGAAAAUGGCAUUAAUUCAUUCUUGUUUACUGCACAAGUUUUAGAAGCAUCAUAGUAAUAACAGUCUUGGCCCUACAGUCAGGAAAGCGAAUGGACCCACAUGCCUCCAUCAUCCACAAAAUGUGAGGGAGUGAUAGGAUAGCAGGGGGACCUGUGUGUGUGUGUCAUACUGUGUUGUGCUGGAGGUGUGUUUUGAUGUAGUCUACCCAAGGCAGAGCAAAUUACAACCUUGGAGUCUUGUGCUGCAGGCACGCAAGUGCUCCCAUUGCUUGGGGAAGUUAGUUUUCCCUUUGUCUGUAAGUUUUACAGUCCUCAUUAGGCAGGAGUAUGUAUUCUCUGUUUCACUUUUUAUUCUCCUGCAGCUGACUCAGACAAUUUGCUAGAGGAAGCUAACAAGUACCUGAGUCAAGUGCUUAGCUAACACUGGAGUCCUCAUAGAUCCUCAGUGUCUGUUCAGUGUCUGUUAAACUGGGUUUUUGCUGGUGGAUUCAGACAAAGCUGCUCCAAACAGUACGGGGUGCUUGGACACUCAGUUUUUAAUUCCCAGCAGGACUCCUAGAUUUGCCAUAUCCUCACCUACAGAUCCUUCUCUGUUAUUCAUUCUCAGAGGCAAUGCUGUUGUCCUCAGAACAGCUAGAGAUACAACUUUCUAAGCACUCAGGAGAUAGUUGCCAUGCAUUAGUUAAGUGGUAUCCAUGAUCACCACCAAUCUGUUUGGGAUAUAAAUUGAGCAACGCUUCUGAAGUUGUAGCUGCAUUUUAGAAUAUUCUUCCUCACAGCUGAUGGACACAGACUUUGCAUACAUGAGUUUCCUUAUCUGUUUUGAAACUUAUCAACAGGUCACAUGUAGAUAUUCUCUACACUCCAUCCCACUUCAGCUUCUACUUCUGUGUCAGCCAGAGGUAUCUGUUACACAUUGUGUAUCAUUGUGUAUUUGUGUAUCAUUUGUGUAUGUUUUUGGUUGGGAUGAUGGGAUGCAUGAGGUAUCUCACCCAUCCUUUCCCUGGUCAAAGACACGAUGGGACAGGGUGCUCCAGAUAGGUGCUAUUGAUUUCUAUUGAUUUUUCCACCAGAGCUAUUGGCUCUGCCACGAACUUCCAUCUCUCUCGUUGCUAGAGAGUAAAAACAUGUUUAUCUGUUUCACUGGGCAGUCCAUUGCCAUGCUAUGGAUGUUACGUUCAUCUUGCCAAGGCUCCUCUGAUCUCUGCAAUGUCCUAUUUCUAUCCCACGUUUUAAGAACGUGACCACCACCCGCUCCACAUCCACAGUAGAAUAUGCUCCUUUCCUUUUUCUUGUAUUUCUUCUUCCCUGUGUUUGGCCAGAGGCAUCCCCAGUCUGAAGUGCACAGACUCAGCAGUGUCUUGAAGACAAGAGAGAGGGACCGGUAAUGAGAAUCCUUCAGCAGAGAAUAGGUGGAAUAUUUUUUUCUGACUUUACCUGAUCUUAUGUAAACUCUGCUGCAGCGCAUUUCUUUUGCUUCAAAAGAUUUUGAACAACUUUGGCCAGCUAGAGUGACAUUUGAAAACUGGUGGAGCAAUUAAAAAAAACACCAGAAACAUAAUGUUGUUAUGGUUUAACCUGGCAGGUAGCUCAGCAGCAUCCAGCUUCACUCACCCCUCGUGGAAUAGGGAAGAGAAUCAGGAAAAAAAAAAUGUAAUGCUUGUGGCUUGAGAUAAAGACAAUUUAAUAGGACAGAAAAUGAAGGGAAAAUAAUACAAAUACACAAAAUGAAUGACAGACAAUGCAGUUGCUCACCACCCACUGUUACCCAGCCAGUCCCUGAACAGUGUCAGCCCCCUCACCAGCUCCCCCAGUUGUAUAGUUCAGCAGGACACCACCUGGUACAGGACAUCCCUUUGGGCAGUCUGGGUCAGCUGUCCUGGCUGCGUUCCCUCCUGGCUCCUUCCACACCCCAGCUCCUUGCUGGUAGGGCAGCGUCAGAAGCUGAAACAUCCCUGGCUCUGUGUAAGCACCGCUCAGCACCAACCAAUACAUCGCUGUGCUAUUGGUGUUGUUCUCAUCCCAAGUUCAGAACACAGCACCCUACCAGCGGUGAGGAAGAAAAUUAACUCAAUUCCAGCCAAAACCAGGACCGUUUUUAACUAAGUGACUAAGAAACAGUCUUCACUCAGUGGUGGCGUAACCCUCUCAGAAAUAUCAGAUAUCUGUCUUUAAUAGCAUAAUUUUUUAAUGCUCCCGAUCACUUCUCAAAUUUCUAGGGACAUUAUUAGGCAACAAAAGUUAGUCUUACAGAUUUAGAGCAAUACCAUGAAAAGAAGAAGCACCCGCAGCUGUUGGUAUGGUAUUAAUGAAGACUUCACUACAAACUCUCCAUUUACCUACAGCAGCGGCCAGAAAACUCCUUGUACCGAUGGAGAAGUUUUAAAUAAUGCAUGCAGAAGCAAUUCUCAGGCAGAAUGAAAUUUCAAAGCAUUUUUUUAAGGUGGUACCACUUCUCUAAGUUCAAAACAAGCCCAGAUGUACAGGAUUAGGGGCCUUCCCUGUUUCCUCACAUUUCGGAGGCUUGUUUUUCUGAUAUUUCACACAGAGCCGUACUGGUUAAGGCAGUUCCCAGCACUUGCCUUGCCAUUUGUUCCUGCCCUCAAGGUAUUCCUGUGACUGUCCCAGUGUAGCUGCUAGUGAUGCCAGCCAGUGCGGUGAAUGAAGGAGCUGAUCUGAGCUUAAAAUAACUUUGUUCAUAGCAGCAGGAAAAAAAAAAAAGGCAACUCUGCUGCCCAAAGAAAUGCCCGUGGGAUAUUGUUUCAUAGUCGGUGACUUUCCUCAGUUUGGAGUGUAUUUCCUGCCUUACAUGCCUUAACCUAGUGCACAGGGCAAUGCUGGUACACUUAAUCCAAGCAUUUCUCUCACUGACAUUAUCAGUUUAGGUAGUCCCUACCUCAUUCCGCACCUCCAGCUGAGUUUAGUCUCCGAAAUAAACCACCUGUUUGGAGUGGCUACACAAAUGCCCAUGCCAGUCAAACGUGAGCAGGGGCAACUAGCCCCAAGCAAGUUAGACAGGGACCUGGAGAUGCUGCAGUUGGCACUGCUGCUAAAGGAGCCUGUGCAGAGCCACAGCACUGUUCCCUGGGUGGGCAGGGGCAGACAGGAGAGUGAAGGAUGCUUACCCACAUUUUCUCAGGGUAGAUCUGCCCUGAAGUACACGUAACACAAACCUAGAGGAGAAGUCGGGAAACUUCAAGAAAAUCUGUGUAAUCUUCUGUUGCCUGUAGAACUGCAUCAGGGUUUUAGCACUGUCCGUCUUUCCUCUCUGUUUUGAUACAAAAUCUUACUUCAACAAAUAAAGGAAGUUGCCAAUAAUAAAAAAAAUAUGAUUACUAAACUGGACAGCAUUGGACAGCAUAUUUACCAAAUCUUCCACAUCAUGCUGCAGCACUUCGUUCUGUCGCUGCCUAUGCUGAGUACACCUCUACCCUUAUUCUUAGGAAGAAUAUUAUGUGUUUAACUUCCAUAAAGAAUUAAAAGGUAAUCUGAUGAAGAGCUUCUCUGUUCUUUGGUUAGUGUAUUGCCAUCUAAGCCUUGCAGUCUCCCCUCAUCUUCCUCCUCUCCCAGACAGGCAGAGGCUGAAAGAAUGUUGAGGCCAAUAGUACGUACAUAAUGACUUGGGGAAGCCUUGAUGAAGAGCACAUUCGGAGUGAUCCCUGCAAAGGUGCCUGAAGCAUGUUUGAAAACUUCAAAGGGGUUCACAUCUUGCCCUGAAAAGCCACAGAAGACUGUUUACAGAAAGCAGAGACUCUUUACAGAAAGAAUACACGGGAUCAGUUAAGUUUUACAACCUAUGACCAUAGAAAUAGGGAUAUAAGGAGAGGACUUCACCAGCUGAAGCAUAUGCUAGUCCUUGUCUGAAGCAGCUUGCGAUGCUUUUCUGUUUUUCUUUGGUGGAGUCUUCUUUUUUCUUUUCUGCAAUAGUUUAGAGACACAAUCAAGUAAGUAGUCACUGGUGUCUGUGGGAACGGAAGAAGUACAAGUGUAGUUUUGUCCUUAUUUCCUCUGUUACGCUCAGAUCAGACAUGGAGAGGAAUGAUCCCAUGAACUUCACACAGCUUUUAUCUCCAUCCCCAUGCUGAGUGCUUCCCUAGGGCAUCGCUAUAAGAGCUGCUUGCAGCUCAGGCCCACAGCAGAUACUUCUUGAGCUGGAGUCAGGGCCCGGGGACUGGUGACCUGAGUGCUGCACAAGGCUGCCACUGAAAGGGCAGAAAAGGGGAGCGAAAGUAUGGGCGAACAGUGGAAAGAACAAAAGUACUAGUUAGUUUUAGCUCUGUAGGCUCCUGACACGUCUGUUGGCUGGCCUCAAAAAAGCUGUGCUCAGCCCAGCCUCGCAGCAAUUGCUGCUGCUGCUGGCUAGUACCCAGACCAGAGCCUGGUGAAACAUCCAGUCUCUCACUUUCAGCCUCAGGCCCAUGCUUCAGUUAAAUGUCCCCACUGCACCAGUGAGUCUCUCAGUCUGCCACGUGCCUCUUGUGGCUGUGGAGGAUUUGCCCUGGUCACAUUGCGUGUAUGGGAUGGGUCAGAUCUUUCCUAGCAUUUUAAGGUGUCUUGCCAGUGUUCUCCCCUCUGCUGCAGACAGGUGUGAACACCUGACAAGAUUUGACCUUUGAAGGUGGUGCUUGUGCAACAUAAUGCAGCUGCCAAAAGUGUUCACGUUAAGCAGCCAUGGCCUCAGCUAUCUGAGGAAUGCCCAAUGUUGCUAGCGCUCCUUAUUAAGGGAGAGCUAUAUUUUGAAAUAGCUAAUACUGAGAGGCAGCACUGCCCGUAUGCUGCAGGUUUAGCGUUGGCAGAACCCCGUCCGUUUCAAAACAAGAGGAAGGAAGAUGGCAGUUCUCGGAACAUGGAAAAGUUCAGGCUCAGGUUCUGUUUUUCAUAUCCCUGUAAUCCUUGCUAGUUUGGAUUUUAAAAACCUUAAUCACUUUUAGCUUAUCUUUUCAGAUCUCUCCAUCAGCCCCAAUAGACACCACGUUACAUUACCUCCCACUCUCAUUCCCCAAGUCUACACACUGUUUUGCCUUCUCAGAUGCUGUUUUCCAUGCUCCAAUUAGAUUAAGGGCUUGCCUGCACAGGAAAACUGCACAACUAUUCAUUUGCAGUUUGUCUUAAAGGAAUUAUGUUAAGCCUGGGCAAAAGGCCAUGUGGAUAACCUGGUAUUCCUUUGCAGGAAUAUAAAUGGCUUAUUUCAAGUUAGAUCAGGUCGAUCAGGAAGAACUUGCAAAGCAGUGCGUUUCCCUACACCAGAAGGAAGAGAGUCCAGCACUUUCUUCUGCGGGUUGUGCCCUCCAAAUGGGAAGAAAUGGCGGGACGGGGUCUUCACCUCAGCAGAAGACACAAUCCGCGGAACAGAGGUUAAAUACUUAAAAAGACAGCCUUCUACAAAAUCGAUAAAUAAGAUUAUAGCCUUGCCCAAUAUGAAAAAAAGUCAUACAUAUCCACUUAUUAUCCACAUAUAUAUCCCCUCUUUGAUCUCUCUGUGAAUGCCCAGACUGUACUGGCUUAUGAGCAGCUUGCAGUUUUUCAAGUGUAUCUUUCUCCUGUAGGCAGGGUCAAAGUAACAGAAGAUGAAGGAAGAUGAAACCAGACAGACUUUAGCAGCAGGAAAAAAAAAGAAGAAGAAGAAGAAGAAGAAGGAAAAAAAAACAACAAAAACCCAUCGAGAGGCACAUGAGUAAAUCUUGGAUGCUGCGCAUUCUCAUUUUGAACUGGUUUGAACUGGUAAGCUAGCAAUUAUCUAAAUCCAAAUAGGCACCCAGUCAAGACGGCUCCUACAUUAAGCAGCAUUAAUAUGAUACUUUGAAGAAGGCACUAGUGUUUCUUCAUAUGGUUUCUGUAAACUUCUUUCUCUUCCAAUUACCAUUUCAAAAUGCCCCGAGGGCCCAUGAGCCAAACACAGUGCUGGUCUUCAAGAAAAAGGGCGAACGUUCCCUUCCUAGAUCGGUCAUCGAGACCCCGGGGCAUCUGCCCGCUGCUUCACAAAGACACAUCUGGAGACAAAGAAGAGUGAUUAGUCCCGAUGGCUCCCAGAGCUGUGGCUGCAUGGAGAUACUGUCAGCUCUGAAAAGACAUUGUGUUUUGAUGUCCAAACCUGUUCACGGCAACCAACUCAGGAAUUCACCCAGGAGACAUGAGAGCUUGGAUAGAUGGCGUCCUUUCUCCUCCUUCACAACGGAGCUGGACACAACAGAGCUGGCUUGAGUACACCGGCUUAUGGCUGGGCUUCUUGGGCACCGCACACUUAGCAUGAGACUGCCUGUUUUGUUUCAGUUCUUAUUUUAAAUCAACUCACUUUUGCCUCUUUAAGUUUCCUUGCAUCCCUGAUAUUUUCUGCAUGUGUUGCAACAGUAUUUCCUACGGAAGGAGCAUUAAACAGGAGCACUCAGCUGCAUCAUCUUUAUUUCAGUCAUCUCUCGUGAUGGCAGCAGAGGAAAAAGUCGUAAUUCUUGUUAUGUUAGGAAAAAAAUGCCUUUUUUUUUUCUCUUUUUUUCUUUUUUCUUUUUUUUUUUCCCCAGAUGAGUUUUUCAAAGACCACCCUUCCUCCCUUUUGCUCACUUUGGCCAGCUGUGCAGCUGAUGUAGCUGGUGUUCUGCUCCACUCCUUUACAAGACGUUAUAACGCUUAGGCUUCAGUUUGUGCACUGCACCCUUUGCAGCUAACACAUCAUGUAAGUUAGAGGGGAGGUGAGACACCUAGUCCAUCUCGCUGCCUUAAGACUAGGAAUGUCCCUUUAGUCCGCAUGGAUGCUCUCAAACUGGAUCUCCAGAACAACUGCAUUCCUGAGCUGGGGGAGGGCUCCCAACCUCCCAACCCCAGCAGAAACUGCUCUCUCCUAAGAGGCAGGGAAGGAGGAGCUGCUGCCUCUCUUCUUAGAUCGACUUCCUGGCCACGCAGCCCUUUGUCUAAGAGAGAUGGCACGGUGCUUCUGUUCAGCUCAAAGGAGUGGCUGCAUGGCUUCUGUUGUUGUUGUGUGGCACUUCUCUUUACGCUUAAUUUUCCUUGUACUUUAAGCUCACUGCUUUUUACUCGUAGUAAACAGGAAGAGUUACUUAUUUCCUUCCUCUUUGCAGCUUUGUUUUAUAUAUUUGUGUAAUGGCAUCUUGCCUCUUCUCAGACUUUCCAAGACUAAAUUAUUCUUCAUAGGUCCUUAGAGUCCACAUCUUCUGAAUUUCCAGCAGAGCAGUAGCUUUACACUUGCCUGGAAAUAGUGUUUAUGAAAUGACCUGACUAACAGGCGAGGAUACUGAGACUUUUGUCUUCACGGAUUAGAUGCCACAGUGGUAGGUGUAGCGAGAACUCCAUACCUAAUUUCUGAUCUGGAACAGCUCUAGAGGCACAAAUAUUAUGUGGUGUUGAAAUCUACCUAAGUGUUUGGGAUUUCCUCUAAAGUCGUUAGCCUCUAGGCUGUUUCAGACUAUUAUGAUUUGUUUGUGCCAGAUGUGGUAGUGUUUUUGUGAUACAGACAAAACAUCCCAGUAGCAACAGUGGUCACCAACUCAUUUCACACAAAUUACCAACUCUGUGGAGGCAGAACGUUCAUUCAGGCAAGGCUCCAGCCUAGCUAGAUGGACAAGGUUACAGCCACUGGAAAGAAAAAUCACACUCUGAGGUGAUGAAUCAUCUCAUCCUAAGGUAGAUAUCUAAACCAGAUCAGAUAAGACAUGCCUUAGUCAAGUGUCAGUGGGGCAGCAGAUGUCGAGAUAGACAUCUAAAAUUAGGUGAGCUGAAAGUCACAUGCUGAGUUCAUUAAAUUGAUGACGCAUAGGUCAAAAGCACCACUUCCUGUUAGGAAUCCUCAGAGCACACCUUUUGCCUGUUUGAAUUUACAGACACCUCGAAACAUGAAGAUGUAAUGGCUUCUAAGAGACGUAUCAAGGUCUGAUGCCUGAGACUUAUCACUGAUUUUCAAAAUGAAAAGUGUUGGUUGCUUCUGUGCAGAUAUGGAACGUGGUUAAAGUUUUAUAAUGGAAAAUCUGACAGGCAGUUAACUAAUCCAUGAGUCAUAUUUCGUAAGUGCCUAAAGGUCUCUGAUGUUCGACCUUCAUUUGAUACCCUUGCCAUCAUGGAGUUAUACAUAACCCAUCUGAAGAACAUUCUUUAUAUAGAUGACUGCAUGCUGCCCUUUUAUACCUGCAAGAAUGAGCGCUGCACUUACUGAAACAGGGAAGUCUACUGCCUGCCUUUCCACCCCUCUCUCUCUGUGGCUGUUUACAGAACUGCAGAGGUACGUUGAACGAAACUGACUUAAAUGACAGCAGUGGAAGACUUUCUGCUUAGUUUAAGUCCUCUGUAGGGCCUAGCUGAAAGGUAAGGAGAGGGGUGGGCAGAUGUUUUUGGAUUCUGUUUGCUUUUAUUUUGAAAGAUUUAAUCAUCAGUACAGCUCUAAUAAUGUACAUAGCAUUGGAGCUAUCAAUACUAACAGAACUCUGGUGUUUUUACCUGUCUGUAGCUCAGUUGGGCAUAAGGCAGGCCAGGCAGAUACAGAAUGAGACAACCUUUUGUCAGAUGAUCCCAAACGGGAAACCCACCUUUACUGACAACAGUGGCAGUGUGCCAGCAUUAGCAGUGUCGAGGUGUUUAUAGAAAGUCUUGAUGUGUAGAGGGCCCUUCUGGAGAACCUACUACUUUAUUCCUCAGCCAAAGGGUAGAAAAGCAACUAUUUGCUUUUUUGGGUACCAUAAGGAACUUCUCAAGUUGCCCAGUAUGACAGUAAAGAAUAUUGGCAUCGCUGUUAUUUUCAAAGCUAAAAUAAGGCAGACACAUGACUUCAGUAAGCACAUGUGAAGUUUGCAUAUCAUAAAUCAUUGCAAUAAAGAAACCAAAACAAAAUAGUAGUGUGUCGUUAAAGCUGGAAUAUGUUUUCCAUUAAAAAAAUUUCCUUUAGGUUUGAUUUGGCUUCUUUUUCACACCUGUGGAACAGUAAAGUAUUUCAGGAAUAGCUCAUUGCCAUUGUGAGACACAAAGUUCCAAUCUACAUGAAUGGACCCACGUACUGUAUAAAGUACAGCAGAAGGUCAUCUUAUUUUUCAAACACUCCAGCAACAGCAGCCUUUACUGCACUACCAAAUAGUAGGCAACAAUUAGAACAGCUGGGAAGACAAAUCAGAAAAAAGAAAGUGGAGGAAAAGAGCUGUGUCCCAAGCUUUUACUUUGGCUGCCAUUUUAAGAAGCGCACCCUUUUCCAUAAUAACAAUUUUGUAAUUGUGUUUUAAGAUCACAUCAGACAUUAGGGGUGAUACAUGUGCAGCAUGUGAGAUUCAUGCUGUGUGCUGAGAACUGCCCAGUGAGGGUCUGGCACAGUGGGAGGGGAAAGACGUGCAGCCUGCCUGUAGGCACCAGCAUGGAGGUUAGUCAUCCUGCUGAGUCAACAGGAGACACCAGCACCUCCAAAGGGUGCUUCUGCCUACUUGUCAUCUAAAGUUAGACAGCUAAAGUUGGUUGCUAAAAAGGAGCUGAGAUGAGGGAAAGGGUUUCACAGCAGAUGUAUCCGCCCCUCUGUCAGCAGUUCUACCUCUUCACCCACCUCUCUGCAUUUGCAUAGAGAAUGAUUCCUGGCUGGUAUUUUCAUGGAGUGAAUUCCCACUUAUCAGAACAUGAUAAUAGCUCGUGUUCCUUAUUUUCAGAGGUCUAGCUGUACAAGUAUUGACUUGUCAGACACAAAUUUCCAGGCAUCUAGACUCUGUUGCAACUAUCAGGAAGAGUUAGGGAUUUUCCAUCCUUGCAAAGAACUUUCCAAGAAAGUCAUCAGAAACAGUUGGAUAAACACACAGUGAAACUUGUAAAACUCCUGGCAAACUGACAGCACAGCCAGAAUUAGAAACUCUGAGCUUUUUUUUUUUUCUGAUGUGAUGCUGGUCACGUGUCUGGUGUUGAGAUAAACCUGGUGGAAGCAGCGAGGCCUAAACUCUAGGAGCCUUCAGUUUAGAGGCCUUUCCAUCCAGUUCUACUGUCUUAUGCCACAGCUUUGAGGUGUCUGAAAGUGUGCUGAAGGAUGCGCGUUGGUGUCAUUUGGGGUUCCUGCAGAAAGAAGGGCCCAACUACACCAAUCCUAUCAGCAGGCUAGGCCUGUUGAAACAAAUGCAACAUAAUAAGAUGCACUGCAACACUUGUCUGGUGGCCUGAAGCACUGCUUUCCCCAUUUGGCCUGCAGUACCCACUGAAGUCAGUGUAAUGAUCUCCAGCAGUUUAUCCUGGCUUUGGAUCAUGGCAUUCAUAGCAAACGUUUGUUUCUGAGUGCCAAGAAGACAGAGGAACUGUGUUGUACAACUGUUCCACAACACACUGCACUCUUAUUUGGGCUGAUUUUCUGUAUUUUUAAAAAUGUUUUGCUUUAUAAAAAGUCAUUUUCUUACUUUAAUCUCAGAAGAGAAUUUUCCAUUCUGUUCACCCUCCCUCUUUUUAUUACAGCAUUUGCUAUAAUUAAGCGCUAAAUUGUAAGAACAUCAUUACAUGGUUCUCUCUUUUUCCAAACUAUUCCUGGCACUGAGAAUUAAAAGAAAAUGUACCUUUUUAGUUAUGUGUGUAGCUCCACUGGCUUAUUCUCAUCUUUUGAUAGUGCUUUUCAGGCUGUCAACUUCCCCUUAUCCUCCUUGUUUCCUGAUUCCCUGAGCUUGUGUAGAAACUGAUGCUGCGGCAGGACAAGGUAAAGAACUGAAAAAUAAGUGAAGAAUUGUGACAGAAGAACUGGCAUUGCCCCAGGGACUCAUAUACUAAAACAUCUUGAAAAAAUCUUCUGAAAAACAGACCAGUUGUGAGUUGACAGUAUCCUUUUAAGAACAGUUUAUGUUGAAAGGUCCUAUGACCAAGUUUUGGCCAAGCACAAGUGUUAAUGAGUUUUUUGAAGUGAAAAGCAUUUAUAUAGACAAAAAUAGAUAGUACUGACAUGUCUCACAGUCAUUGUUUACAAUUUCUGUGUGAUCCCUUGUCCAGAUUUAUAAUGAACACUUGCUGUCCCAGCAGAACUUAAAACGUUUAUGGUUUUCUCUUUAAUGCUAUAAUUAAAAACAGGAUGAUUUUCAUGGGACUAGAAUAAUCUGUAAUUCUUGUGAGAGCUCUAUCUUUUAAGCAGCCUUAUCUAAGGUAUAAUCCUCACUGACCUAAGCAUGCAGAGACAUUUUUUACACUUCCUUAUGUCUUCAUUGAGCAAUUAUACACCCUUAGGGUUAUUUCAACCUGAUAUCUUUAGAUAUCUAAUCUCUCACUAGUUCUUCACAUUUUGUGGAUGAAUGGAUGCUCCUUAUCGUGCAACAAAAAGACCAGUCUGGCGUCCCUAGGGCAGACCAUGCAUUACAGCAGAACUCAGAGAGGCGUAAUUAUAGAGGACAGGUAGAAAGUUAGCUCCUCGAAUGGGAAUUUCUUUGCACUGGAAUACUUACCUAUUUUGAUGUCUGAUGUUUAAUUAGCACUGUUCCUCUACAAAUACAUUUCUGCCAUGCGGAAACUUUUAACUUGCUUUUAAAAGUUUUGUUCUGAAAAUGGUUCAUGUAAGGUAUUUGAACCUGCUUUGUCUAGUAGUAUUAAUAACCUGGGGCAGACAGUGUUUAUAUGGUACCAAGCACCAUGAUGGCACUUAGUAAAUAAUGAAAUAAAUCACAGGCUUUGUUUCUGUUUAAACACUGUGCUUGACCUCUGUGGAUAUCUUCUGGAUCCUGCUCAACAGCCUCAUUUGGGUGCAACUGGAUAUUGUGCCAAUUUUAUUCCAGCUCCAUUAACGUAUGGCAACAAUACAGACAGUACAUCGCCUGACAAAGAACUCAUAGUCCUCCUCUGGAUUUAUGUAGCAAGAUUUUGGCAGUGGGGUGGCCUGCAAGAAGCCAGCAGCUGCCCCGUGUCAGAUCACAGCCCUUGUAGGAGCAGCCCAGGCCUGAGCUGCAGCCCAUGGAGAGCAGCCUGCAGAGGGGCAGGAGGGCUGAGGGAGCUGCCGCCUGUGGGGAACCGUGUGGAGCAGUGCCUGAAGGGUGGGCUCCAUGGUACGGAGCUGUGUUGGAACAGUGCUGGGAGAGCUGCAGCAUGUGGAAAGCCCAUGUGGGAUCAGACCAGGAAGGAUGCCAUCCCAUGGGACGGACCCACACAGAACAGAAGCAGAGAGUGAUCAUGGAAGAGCAGAAGACAUGAAGCUUUAUGGACUGACCGCAGCCCCCUUUCCCUAUUCCCCUGUGCUCGUUGAGGGAAGGAGGUAGGAGUUGAGCCUGAGAAGAGGUGGGUGGAGGAGAGGUGUUGUCAGUCUGUUUUUAUUUCUCAUUGCCCUAUUACUAAUAGGCCAUAAAUAAAAUAAAUCUUUCCCAAGUAGCCUAUUUUGCUUGUGACAGUAAUCACUGAGUGGUCUCCCUAUCUUUCUCUCAACCGAUGAGCUUUUCCAUUGUAUUUUCUCUUUCUGAAGAGAAGUGAGAGAGCAGCUUGGUGAGCACCUAGUGACCUGCCAAUGUUAUCCCACCACAAAAACAAUAAAAUCCUAAGUCCUUGAGCCUGCACUAAGAAUACAGUCAUAGAAUCUCAAGGUUGGAAAGGACCUACAAGAUCAUCUAGUUCAACUGUCCUCCCAUUACCCUUGCUACCACAAGCCACUAAACCGUAUCUCUUAGCUCCUCAUCCAGACACCUCUUGAACACCACCAGGGAUAGUGACUCCACCACCUCCCUGAGCAGGCCAUUGCAGUGCCUGACCACUCUCUGAGAGAAAAAGUUUUUCCUUGUGUCUAAUAUCCACCAGGACUCCUAAUUUGUGUACAAGUAGAUGAGUAAAGUAGAAAAGGAAAGUGAUGAAUGCAUCUAAAGCAACAAUUACAGCACAGAGGAACCAUUGUGUCCAAACUCACUGCCCUGCUCCAGGCUUUGAGAUGUAUUCUGAAAAUACAGUUAUUCUACCGGUGAUGGAUGGGGUACCCAAGCACAUGAAAGCCAAUGUAGAAUUGAUGGUGUGAAGAAAACUCAUGUUAGUUAACUGUUUUAAAGUACAGAGUGGAGAGAAAUUGGAAGGAUAAGUGUUAACUGCACUGUACAAUGUUGGCCUUCCAGACCCACCUGCAGGUGCAGAAGCAGAGGGUGGACGUGCUGUAGAGAGGAACUGUGGGCUUUCCUUAGAACAGCCUGAGAGCAUUUCAGUAACCCCAGCGCUUAUGAUACGUCCCAGGGAAAUCAUACUGCAGCUGACUGCCUAGGUCACAUAUGUUUUUAAUAGAAACAUUGAAAAUUGUUUCAAGAUUGAGGCGUGUACAUGUUAAACGUUGAGGAGCUGAAGAACACAUAGAACUGUACUAAAUUGGUUUCUCAUACAGGCUGACAAAACACUCGGGAUGCAUCCUAAUCCCAAGUGCUCCCAUAAAAGCCUGCGUAUCCUUGUCCUCUCCAACCACCAAAUCAAUCUUAAACUUUUAGGCGAGGUUGCUGAACUUGCAGUCUGAUUUAAUCACUUUUCCGUCAGGAAUUGGCAAAGCUGAGAAAUAGUCUGUGGCUAACUUCAGCGUGUUUUAUAUGUUUGUGAUAUCUGUACUUUUCUAUUUUCAACGUAUAACUAAUAAAAAAAAUAAUCCCCAUUAUGCAUUUGUUAUGGAAUAAUAAUACUUACAGGAAUCAAAAGAUUACUACUAUAUGUCUUCUUUACUGCAGAAGGAGUUACAAUGAGGAGCCCUGAGGUGGCCCAGAGGGCAGGAAAGGACAACAUUCAAAACUCCAGCAACCAGUGAAAGAGGAAUUAAGGUAUUACUCACCGAAGCCUCUACAAAACCAGGCUUAAAUGCAGUUGGAAGCCUUUGCCAACUCUGGAACUCAAAUUAAAGUCUGCUAUCCCAGAAGCAAUAGCAGCCAGAGGGAAUUGGGAAGGGAUCAAGGAAGAGUGGGGUGGGAGACAAAAUCUCAAAGACCACCAAGAUGAGAGGUAUUCACCACCUUAGGCAUUAUCACACGAAGGCUGCAUGCCCUGCGGAGCCUUGAUUGCCCAACAGAAGUUAAUAUGUUGAGCACAGGGUUUCUUGGUCAGUUAUGGAGGAGGCCAAGCUAGACAAUCUGAGUCUGAAUAGUUUACAACGUGGAGUUUGAGUUUGAGCACCCUGCUGCUUGCUCUGUGAUAGUAGCUAUAGCAGUACUGAGUGGUAAAUGAGUGAGUAACGCAAGCUGGCAGAGCUGAGGCUGCAGUAAGAGGCACAUGCAUAUCUCGAUGGUUCAGGCAUGCCCCAUGUCAGCCGUGAAUUCUGCAGUUUGUGUUAAUAAGUGGAGCAUGCAAGUUGUCUGCUUGCCAUAGGGUGAGUGGCAGCCAGGCAGCCUGCAAAAAUGGAUGUCGUGGGGGCACCGAAACAAGGAGCUGAACGUACUAUCUUGAAAGAAAUCUCUACAGAAAGAAAAAAGGGAGAUACCAUUCUGCAUGUCUGGGCUAGUGUGAAUUCAUCAGGCUUUGUGUUUGAAUGGGAGCCAGGUGUAGCGUACAAGUAACUCCUGUUUGCUCUGCUUGACCUAAAUCCAAGUUUUGCUUUGUCAGGUUUUGUCCGACAUGUGUUCUGUUUCCCUACUGCGUAGUAACAGCGCUAGAGGCUGGGUGUUAGCACUGGCAAUCUGAUGAUUCAGUCACUCAAGUAUGAAGGCCAUACUGUGGCAAUAGGGAGGAAGUGAGGACGUGUAACCUUACCAUGUGUUUUGUGGUGGUCGAAGGUUUCAGUUCAUGCUGAAAGAAUUCUUAUUUGUGAAAUUUCAAAAGGAUUAAAUGCAGACUGUCCUUGCAUUCUAGACGGCAGUCAGGCACCACAAGCAACCUGCAUCUCUGCCAACAAUGCAUUUGGGGAUAUAAUGCCUUGUUCAGUUAUUUAUAAAUAGGCAUUUUCCAGGAUCGACACCUACCAGAGCCCAGCCAUCCACCUCCACUGCCUCCCUUUCCUUGGCAGCCAUUCCUGCAGCAGAAAUGCAUGGGUGGCAAGAGUCCUCCAGCUGUCCUCAUCUUCAGUCUCACUGGUUUGGGGGUGUUGUGGUGGUAAGAGAAGCAUCUGCUAUUCGAGACCCUGUCUUAAACAGCCACAUUGCCAUGAAUAAGUUUCCAGUGCUAAUAGUCAGGAACUGUAGCAGAUAGGAAGACUGCCAGCUCUUGGAUACACACUUCUGUUUGGGUCACAAGAGGAAGUCACCCUCUUGUACAAUAUCUGUGCAAACACCAAAUCCUACUCACCUCUGAUGUUCACAACAAGUUUGAGCUAAGCAAAGCACUCUACCCAUGGACAAUGCUAAGAUGCUGGUCAUCUCAGAAGAAGAUCAAGCGAGCUUGAUGUUGAAGGGAGAGUGUGAUAUAAUUGAUUGUGAGAUAUGAUGAGAUAAAUCAGGCAAUUGAAAUUACUCUUGGGUCCCAAACAUGGGUUGUAAGAUUUUUCCAAGCAGUGAAGACAUUCAGCGCGCUGCACAUUUCAGAGAUUGAGGUUUGAAACCUAACUAAACAAAUAAUGAAAAUUAAAAAAUAAAAAUAAAACCAAUAAUGAAAUGGAA